CAGGUUUCAGAUCUCAAGUUUUCAAAAGUCAGAAAUUUCCUGCCCUAAAGAUGUUGAGCUCAGAAGCUAAUUGCUGUAGGUUCAGAGUGCCCACACUCUUUAGACUUGUAGCUCCCAAACUUUAGGUUUGAGGACCACCUUCGGCUCCUUAACUCUAGGUGACUCUGUCAACCUCCUUUAGUGACCAUGAUCUUCAGCCCCUAGAGUCUCAGCUACCAUCUUCAACUCUUCAGAGUCUCUUGCUGCCUCCAUACUCCUGCCUUCCUUCAUAUUCAGAGCUUGUUGCACUGUCUACCUUUGCUUUCUCUAUGAAACUCUUAGUUGCCUCUUGAUAUUACAAUUCCAAUCUUUGGGAAUCAGGGUUCUUAGCUAAGGGUGACUCUCUAGAACAUUGCCACCAUAGCUUACUUAUCAUUGCCACUGUCAGGGCUAAAAAGCAAAAUAUGAAUACAACCUGUCCAGCCUACUCUAUGGGUACAAAAUACCACAGGCUGGUGGCAUAUAGACUAUUCAGGGUAUGGCAUGGAAGCUACACUCAUGUAAUAUCAACAACAUGGACACCUGAACAAGCUCAACACAAUGACAAUACCGGUUGCCAUGCCUGACUGGAUUGGGGAAAUCAUAAAAGGCUCCUCACCAGAUGAAGAACUAUAGACAAACAAUGGCUGCUAAGAGGGCAGAACUAGUCUUCUUCAGGGACAUCAAUCCCAAGAAGUCAACACAUAUACAUAGGACCAAUACUAAAUGCAUAGCAGAUUAUUUCUUUAUACACAUGUGUAUGUAAAUAAAUAUAUAUGUAACAAUCAGAAUUAAAGACAUUGUGAAUUUGAGUGGGACUUGGAAGGAUGUGGGGAGGAAUUGAGGGAAAGAGAGGGGUAAAAAUGAUGUAAAUACAGUACUCAUGUAUGAAAUCUCAAAAAAACACCAAAAUAAUAAAAAGUAUGUAAACCCAG
rnacentral:lncRNA from 1 species